UGGGGAAUUUUCCGCAAUGGGCGAAAGCCUGACGGAGCAAUACCGCGUGAGGGAGGAAGGCUUUUGGGUUGUAAACCUCUUUUCUCAAGGAGGAAGUUCUGACGGUACUUGAGGAAUCAGCAUCGGCUAACUCCGUGCCAGCAGCCGCGGUAAUACGGAGGUUGCAAGCGUUAUCCGGAAUGAUUGGGCGUAAAGCGUCCGCAGGUGGAAAUGCAAGUCUACUGUUAAAGAGUGGAGCUCAACUCCAUAAGGGCAGUGGAAACUGCGUAACUAGAGUACGUUCGGGGUAGAGGGAAUUCCUGGUGUAGCGGUGAAAUGCGUAGAUAUCAGGAAGAACACCGGUGGCGAAAGCGCUCUACUAGGCCGUAACUGACACUGAGAGACGAAAGCUAAGGGAGCGAAUGGGAUUAGAUACCCCGGUAGUCC
rnacentral:rRNA from 1 species